rnacentral:rRNA from 1 species
AUUGAACGCUGGCGGCAUGCCUUACACAUGCAAGUCGAACGGCAGCACGGGAGCAAUCCUGGCGGCGAGUGGCGAACGGGUGAGUAAUGUAUCGGAACGUGCCCAGUCGUGGGGGAUAACGUAGCGAAAGCUACGCUAAUACCGCAUACGAUCUAUGGAUGAAAGCGGGGGAUCGCAAGACCUCGCGCGAUUGGAGCGGCCGAUAUCAGAUUAGGUAGUUGGUGGGGUAAAGGCUCACCAAGCCGACGAUCUGUAGCUGGUCUGAGAGGACGACCAGCCACACUGGGACUGAGACACGGCCCAGACUCCUACGGGAGGCAGCAGUGGGGAAUUUUGGACAAUGGGCGCAGGCCUGAUCCAGCAAUGCCGCGUGCAGGAUGAAGGCCUUCGGGUUGUAAACUGCUUUUGUACGGAGCGAAAAGGCUCUCUCUAAUACAGGGGGCUCAUGACGGUACCGUAAGAAUAAGCACCGGCUAACUACGUGCCAGCAGCCGCGGUAACAC